UUGUAGUUCGUCCCGUUUGGGCCUGCUGUGGGACUUUUCCCGUCAGCUCCCUGAUCCACCCCAGUGGGGACACGCUCAGGCGACACUCCUGUCCCGUGCUCCCGCCCUCUUGCCUUUCAUUCCAGCCGACAAGACCUUGGAAGCUUUGAAGCCCAGCAAAGAAGGGAAAUCCACUGAGAAGAGUCUGGAAAGGUGUCCUAGGACAACCUGCUUGGUCACUCCUCUGCAAAAACUCUCCAUCUUGCACUGAGGAUCCCAAG